UACGGGGGGAGCAAGCGUUGUUCGGAUUUACUGGGCGUAAAGGGCGCGUAGGCGGCGUGACAAGUCACUUGUGAAAUCUCCGGGCUUAACCCGGAUCGGCCAAGUGAUACUGUCGUGCUAGAGUGCGGAAGGGGCUACUGGAAUUCUCGGUGUAGCGGUGAAAUGCGUAGAUAUCGAGAGGAACACCUGCGGCGAAGGCGGGUAGCUGGGCCGACACUGACGCUGAGGCGCGAAAGCCAGGGGAGCGAACGGG
rnacentral:rRNA from 1 species